rnacentral:misc_RNA from 1 species
ACACCUCAACUCUCAUGGUUUGCCAUGAUGAGCUUGGACUUUGGGGGUUUUGCUGGCCUAUGGUUGGCUCCUCUCAAAUGAAUCAGCUUGCCAGUGUUUGGUGGCAUCACAGGUGUGAUAACUAUCUACGCUUGCGAUUGCCCACCAGGUAACCUUCAGCAAUGGAGGUUCGCUGGGGCUCAUAGACGUCUCUCCUCAGCGAGGACAGCUUUUGAACGU